UCCCAAACUGGGAUUAGAUACCCCACUAUGCUUAGCCCUAAACCUAGAUAGUUAGCUCAAACAAAACUAUCCGCCAGAGAACUACUAGCAACAGCUUAAAACUCAAAGGACUUGGCGGUGCUUUAUAUCCCUCUAGAGGAGCCUGUUCUAUAAUCGAUAAACCCCGAUAAACCUCACCAUCUCUUGCUAAUUCAGCCUAUAUACCGCCAUCUUCAGCAAAC
rnacentral:rRNA from 1 species